GGGCUGUCUUCUGUCAAAAAAUACUUGCCAGAGCCCAAGGAGACAGUAACUCACCUUCAAAGUUUGUUUUUAAAUGAAUAUUCUGUCAUUGGCCUAUUUAUUUACAAUAUGUGUUUUUAAGUCCUCUCAUGACUUAGAAUGGAAAACAAGCAAACAUCGAUGAACAUGAAACAGGUUUCAUGAAACAAGUUUAAUAAAAAGUCAUGGUACAAACUUUUUUACUAUUUUUUUUUCUUAUUGCUAAUUUUUAAACUAUCUUACUUUUUUACUAAAAGUCUUUCCCACAAUAACCAGUAUCACACAAUCAAUGAAAAUGACUUAAAAGAGGAAAAUUGCUGUGGACCAUUAUUAAAAAAAACAGCUCUAUUUUGUUCUCGUACUGAAACUUUUUGAAGGCCAGCUUGAUUUUCAAGUUGUGAUCUUGUGGACUUUACAAAGUGGGUAAUGCUAUUUGACUGUUGUUCAAAAAGCCAGAAGCAUGUAUCUGCAGUGCCAUGGGGUUGGAGAGGGAUACAGGAUUACACAGCUGUCUUCUUAGAUAAAUCUGACCUACUUAGCCUUCUCUGGAGGUAUUUUUCAUGCUGACUCAUGAACAACAGGAAAGUUAUGGCCCAUUAAGUAGCAUCCAUGUUUUGAAGUAAACUUCUUCUCCAAAGAAGACUCCUGUGUCAUUGAUGCCAUUAUUUGCCUGCAGAUGAAAACCAAGCAAGUCUAUAAAUGUGAGUUACAUCUCAACACAUUCUACAUAAAACUGACAGUGAAGCAUCAAGUCCAAAUCACCUGUCUCUAGUCUAGAGAAGAUUCAACACACCAGGUCACAUGGUGGGUUGUAAAGACUGAAAGAGAUACUAUAUGUGAGCAGAUAACUAAAGAGGUCCCUGAAACAAGAAGCUGGUACACAGGCCAGUGUCUCAAAGGGAGCAGGGUUCUGAGCAGGAAAUGGCUAAGACAGUCUCCAGUUGUCAGAGGAAGUUGAUGUAAUGAAGGCAAGACUACGGGAAAAUGUUGCUCAAUUAUUAAGACCAAAUACUUCAGAUCACCUCUGAAGAAGCCCAGAUUUUAUCUCAGAACAAAAAGUCUACCUACUACCAGGAACCCAGUAGCCUCUCCAGGGCUCAGGCCUCUGAACAAAAGCCAGGAUUUCUGCUUUCCAGGGCUGCCACCAAAACAGCGAGCACAAGUCCCACCUGAAAAGAUAAAAGAGGACCCCAACUAUAACUUCUGGUCACAUUCUCGGCAGCAGUUUUUGAACACAAACAAUGAAUGGGAUCAUUACAAAUGACUUUUAUUAGAUAUCUGACUGAUUAAAUGAAACCCUUGUCUCCCCAAGGUAGUUGUCCAAUCUUUGUAUAACCUUGUAUAUGUAGAGUAAAAAGCUGCAUGUCUCUAAAAUUAGGUCAAGAGUUAUGCAAAUUCUCUCUUCUGAAGAAAAUUAGCAAGACAUUUAUUUCUAAGUUUGUAAAUAAUAUUUCCCCCUAGACUUUAGGGUCACUGAACAGGCUCAAACCUGUGUCUUGCUUACUAAUUUUUCUAACUAAGAAAGUGAAACAAAAGUAAUUACAAACAUCUAACAGCGUAUUAAAAGACCAUUUUACUC
rnacentral:lncRNA from 1 species